rnacentral:misc_RNA from 1 species
GAAGGAGAAGCAGCAUGGAGGGUGAGAAAGGAAGGAAAGAGAGAGUUUGCGUGACUGGGGCAGGAGGGUAUAUCGCCUCAUGGCUUGUGAAGCUUCUCCUCUCUAGGGGCUACAUGGUGCACGGAACCGUCAGAGACCCAAAUGAUGAAAAGAAUUCCCAUUUGAAGAAGUUGGAGAAGGCCCAAGAAAAUCUACAACUAUUCGAAGCAGAUUUGCUUGACUACAAUUCUAUAGCUUCAGCUGUUGCAGGAUGUGAAGGAGUCUUCCAUGUUGCUAGUCCUGUUCCUUCCAGAAAAGUGACCAAUCCAGAGGUUGAACUAUACACCCCAGCUGUAACGGGCACCCUUAAUGUACUGGAGGCGUGUUUCCAGGCAAAAGUCAAACGAGUGGUUGUAGUGUCUUCUGUUGUUGCUGUUAUGAUGAAUCCCAAUUGGCCGAAGGAUAAAACCAUGGAUGAGUAUUGCUGGUCGGACAAUGAUUACUGCAAAACAACAGAGGAAUGGUACUGCAUUUCCAAGACACUUGCAGAGCGCGAGGUUGUAGACUACGGGAAGAAACAUGGGCUGGAUGUCAUAACUAUAUGCCCUUCCCUUGUCAUUGGACCAUUGCUUCAAUCCACUCUGAAUUUUAGCAGCUUACUUCUCUUAUACCUGUUUAAAGGGAACGAAUCUGCAACGACUACGACCUGGAACUGUGUUGAUGUUCGAGAUUUAUCUGAUGCACUACUUCUGAUAUAUGAGAAGCCAGAAGCAUCAGGUCGAUACAUUUGUGCACCUCAUUCGAACAGUCUGCAUGACCUUGUUGACAUUUUAAAGCGCAACUAUCCCAACUAUGUCUAUGCUACAGAAUACAUUGAAAGAGUAGGAAGAAGUAUAAUGAGUGCAGAGAAACUGAAGG